rnacentral:rRNA from 1 species
UACAGAGGGGGCAAGCGUUGUUCGGAAUUACUGGGCGUAAAGGGCGCGUAGGCGGCCUUCUAAGUCGAACGUGAAAUCCCCGGGCUCAACCCGGGAACUGCGUCCGAUACUGGAAGGCUUGAAUCCGGGAGAGGGAUGCGGAAUUCCAGGUGUAGCGGUGAAAUGCGUAGAUAUCUGGAGGAACACCGGUGGCGAAGGCGGCAUCCUGGACCGGCAUUGACACUGAAAAGCGAAAGCCAGGGGAGCAAACGGG